rnacentral:rRNA from 1 species
AGCUGAGCACUCUGGCGAGACUGCCGCCGACAAGGCGGAGGAAGGUGGGGGAUGACGUCAAGUCAUCAUGGCCUUUAUGCCCAGGGCUACACACGUGCUACAAUGGCCGGCACAGACGGCAGCUUAGUGGCGACACUUGGCAAAUCCUCUAAAGCCGGUCCCAGUUCGGAUUGCAGUCUGCAACUCGACUGCAUGAAGCCGGAAUCGCUAGUAAUCGCAGAUCAGCCAAGCUGCGGUGAAUACGUUUCCGGGCCUU